GGAAAGGUGGAAGACCUGUGGCUCUCCAUUUUGCACAACUCAGCUGCCCUAAAUUGAGAUGUAGCUAAAACUGUGAUUCUGGCGUCAAAGACACUCAUCCAGUCCUACCAUAUACUAGCAGUGUAACCUUGGGUUCUGAGGUUCAUUCAGCUUCAAGCAUGGAUCCUAAGGCAAAAACAGUUGCAAGGUGAGACUGAGUACACUUCCCUGAUUCAACCCAGGCUUAUCAAACCAGAGAGCAGAGGAGAAAGAGUCCCCAGCGAUCCACAACUGGUGCACAGUCCACAGGCCUGGCAUGAUAAGGCCUGGGACGAUUCAACGUCUAGUACAGUGCCUGGCUUAGGAGCCCGUAUCCCUGUAUCCUGUCUUCCAUUGACCAAGCACUUCACACAGCUGAUGAAACUCAAGCACAGAGAUGGUACUAUACUGUCUAUUAAAGGUCACCAACGUCAAGGCCAAUGAUGACUUCCGUGUUGCCAAAUCCAGUGGUCACUCCUUGGGCUUUAGCUAACUGAGCCUCCCUACAGGACUGGAAAUAUCUGGUCACUCCCUCCUGCAUGCAGUCUUCUCUCCUGGGUUUCCUCCUCCCUCACCAGCUGCCCCUUCUUAGUCUCUUCUGCUCAAACCACCUGCUCUUCUGCCCCACACUUUAGUCCUUGGACUUCUCUCUCUCACUCUCCAUCUCUCUCUCACUAGCGUCUCAUAUAGUUCUAUGAAUACUGAUGACAAACAAAUUUAAUCUAUUUUCAAGCUUUACUCUGAAGUCUGGACUUGAAUAUCCAACUGUCCUC